GUUGAUAUAAUAUUGGCUAAGUGAAUUUGUGCUUGCAUAAAAUUAUUAGAAUUUAACCAUGAAUGUCGGCUUGUAACAAGUGCAGCCCACAGUAUAAAAAGGGCUGCUCAAUGCUGGAUUGUAGCCGAAGCUGCGAGCCGGCCUAGAACAGGUGUAAAAUAUAAAAGGGAGUGCCCAUAGCAUCUGGGUUUCAGUCGAAGCUGCGCCGGGGCCCAGGAAGGAAGGUGUAAUAGCGUGUUUGUGUUUACAUAAAUAUGUUAAUAACAGAUCAAAAUGGCAUCUCGUCAUAGUAUAAAAGGAGCAGCUCACUGUAGCUGGGGUUCAGUCGAGUCUGCGAGGCGGCCCAGUAAGGAAGGUGCAAAAGUGUGUAUAUGCAUCCUUUGCCUUUGGUCCUAAAGCAAUUACAAUCGAUGCAUGAAUUACACACUCAACACUACACGCCUGCUGGUUCACACACAACACACAACUCUCGCUAAAGGGUAUUAGAAAUUUGCAUAAAUAAAACAGCGCAAAUUGGCAUAUAAAUAAAAUGGAUACAAUUUAAAAUGUGUAAAUCCCAACAUAAUUUGACGCAAGUGAAACAACUUUGAAAAGAAGAUUUAUUGUACAAUGCAAAUUAACUAGCUGAAAACACGAAUGGAUUUUGCAUAAAUUUAAAAUAUGUGGCUGCCAAUAGAUUAAAAGCUCCUGACGUCAAUCCCUUGUCAACAUGACGCCCAAUUGUGUCGCCUGGGAGGCCCACGAAGGAUAAUUUCUUCGCUAUGCAUAAGUCAUGCUGUUAUUGGGAUCAAAUCAUGUUUGGGCUCGGACAAGUUGAAAACUUGGUGAAGCCAGUCGGGCUUUCAAGAUAUUGGCUUCGUCUUGAAUUCGAAAUGAGGCAAUG